rnacentral:rRNA from 1 species
UACGGAGGUGGCAAGCGUUGUUCGGAAUUACUGGGCGUAAAGGGCGCGUAGGCGGCAUGGCAAGUCAGAUGUGAAAGCCCCGGGCUUAACUCGGGAACUGCAUCUGAAACUGCUUUGCUUGAGUCCUGGAGGGGGUAGUGGAAUUCCCAGUGUAGCGGUGAAAUGCGUAGAUAUUGGGAGGAACACCGGCGGCGAAGGCGGCUACCUGGACAGUGACUGACGCUGAGGCGCGAAAGCUAGGGGAGCAAACGGG